GAGCAGGGGCGCGUCGGCGCCGCCCCUGAGCACCCUGCUCGGGAAGGGCAGGAGGCGGCGCCGGCGGCGCCGCCCGCGCCCGCCCGCCGACGCGGAGUACACGUCGAAGCCCCCGGCGUAGCACGGCGCCGGGUGCCUGUUCAGGGAGACGAUGGAGCCGCCCCUCUGGGCCUAGCACCGGCAGCUGGCGUUGCGAAGGGAGCGGCUGCAGGUGCGCGCCGAGAGGGCGAGCGAGGAGCGCCCCGUCGGGAAGUGCGAGUUCAUGGUCGAGGGGUUGCUCCUGGAGCUGAGCGAGUAGAGGCAGAGGUGGCUGCUCCUGGAGCUGUUGGAGCAGCUGCUCAUGCUGGCGCAGCGGCGGCGGAGGAGGAGGCCGCCGCGGCGGAGGGCGUGGAGGGCCUAGGCGGAGAAGGAGAAGGGGCGGUUCGGGCUCAGGAGGAGGAGGGAGCCGAGGGAGGAGCUGCUGAGGAGGUUCAGGCUCUUGACCAAGCAGCUGCGCGAGUUGUCGCGGUAGAGCCCGAGGAAGCUGCCGUAGGGCGCGCCCUAGAGGUGGCUGAGCCGGAGGCAGUUGACGGAGGAGCCGGAGCUCCUGCUGUUGCGGAGCGUCGUGAGGGCGUCGCCCCACGGGUUGAGGCCGGGGCGGCUCCUGGUCGCCCGGUCGGUCGUCUUCGAGCGGCGCCGCCGGCGCCGGCGCUCCGUGGUCGUGCUGCACGUCAGGCACGGGCUGAGCGGCUACGACCUGUUCUUGAGGAGGAAGCCGAGGUGGAGGAGCCGCGGCAGGGACAGCUUAGACGGCGGCUAAGCCCACGCCGGGCUCCUGGCCGUCGGACACCGCGGCGGCCAGAGGCACCUCCUAGUGAAACGGGUCUACCCCUAGAGCCUCGUCGUCCCGGACGGAGGCGUUCACUACCCUAUAUACGUUGGCGGCGGGGUCCGCGGCUAGGGUCGGUACCGCUACGUUCGCCGGUCGUCGUAGAGCGGUAGCCUCGGCGGGUCGUCCCGGAAGAGUCUACUACUGUCCAGGCUAGUGCCCCCAGCCUACGUCGUCGGUGGCUUCGUCCUCCAAGGUGGAUGGCGGCUGGGGUUGUUGUCCCGGUACAAGAUGUUACUAUACAGCGGAGCCUUACUCUACUUCGCUCUGUACGGCCACCCUUGACUACGGCGGUCGAUAGCACGAGGUCGCGGUCGAGGUCUACGACGGCGCAGCCGUCGGCGGCGUGUCGGUGGCGGACCAAUACAGAUACGUGUCUACGUCGGUGUUGUCGUCAAUGUCGUCGGUGGUGUCGUCGUUAAUGUCGUUGUCAAUGUUGUCGUUCGAGUCGUCGUUAAUGUUGUCGUUCGAGUCGUCGUUAACGGUGUUGUUUAUGUCGUCGUCGGUGUCGUCGUUAACGGCGGCGUUAAUGUCGUCGUUCGUGUCGUCGUUAAUGUCGUCGUUCGUGUCGUCGUCGGAGGCGUCGGCGUCGUUCGAGUAGUCGGUCGAGGUGUCGUUAUACAGUGGCGCCCUUUAGUCGUAAAGUAAGUGUUGGGUCGGUGCCCGUGUAAGUAAGGUUAGGUUAGAAUAAUGGUUGUCUGACAGGGAGUCGUUCGCGGCGUCGUUGUCGUCAGUGGACGUAAACUGGGUUUAUGACCGUACAUGAUGUAGGGAUACGUCGCAGGCUUACGUGGAGUCGUCAUAUCGUAAGGACGACCACGACAUCGGGGAUACCGACGAGGCUGUGAACAACUGUCGCAUGGCUUCGGUUGGCACGGCUAAGGAGUCGUUAUAUACUUCGGACUUAACGUCGUCGGACCGUACAUGGCUUGGCGCCGCGGAAGACGGGGACGAGGUCCCCGAUUGUGCCGGGGAUUAAUACGACCUUACCCCAUGGUGGUACAUUACGUUAGGGUGGUGGUAGGACGUAGCGUCGGAGGCGGCUGGUACCGCCCUUUGAUACCCAUGGGGCUCAUACGGCGACUAGGGGCGCGUGUCCAGAAGAUGAGGGUCCGUCCUCGUGGUGGUCGUAGUAACGGUGGAGUCAUAGUCGUCGGGUACCCUCGUGGACUACGGCCGCCAGUCCGACUGUACUUAGUCUUGGCACCACCAAGUAUCGCUUCCUACCCACUUAAGACAAUACGACGCAUAGGAUCUCCAUUAGGACGACAAUGAAUAGUAAUAACAAUAAUGUUCAACGCGCUCAGUUACCGUUUGUAACCUACCACACUAACUCGUCAACACGUAACCCCUAGUUUAGUUCGUACGUAGACCUGAACACUAAUCCCCACCCCCAGGUUUUAUUCUAGUUUUGCCAAGAUACAAGCAGGGACACAGCGGCUCGGACUCCCCCUCAACAAAGACUAAACAGGACCUCUCAGGUAAACGGCUACAACGUCAUUCGACCCCACCUUCCUUCCGGACACUUACUUCACAACCUAAUGUCAAGGUUAACGAGCAGAAUUAAAAACUUAUUUAUAUAUCAACAGAUUUUUCGAGUCAUUUUUGAAGGCUUAGCUCUUGAGUAGUAAACACAUCGGGGAGACAUAUAAAUUUUGAGUACCUACCAUGGCUCCAACUUUACAGUCUAUACACAAAUAAUAAAUCGGACGGAACAUCUUUGAAGUAGGGGCUCAAUUUAUAGUAGUAUGUGGGAACAGGGUAUAAAAACAUGGUAAUAACUAUAACUACAGCUAUGUAAAAGAAGACCAAAAGUAUGCGG
rnacentral:rRNA from 1 species